ACACACCGCCCGUCACACCAUGGGAGUCGGUAACGCCCGAAGCCGGUGGGGUAACCUUUUGGAGCCAGCCGUCUAAGGUGGGACAGAUGAUUAGGGUGAAGUCGUAACAAGGUAUC
rnacentral:rRNA from 1 species